rnacentral:rRNA from 1 species
CAAGAUAAGAUUUCCCACCGCAAGGGUAAGACCCCAGAAAGACUAUCUGGUUGAUAGGUCGAAGGUGUAAGUGCAGCAAUGUAUUUAGCUUAUCGAUACUAAUAGGUCGAGGACUUGACCAAUAUU